CGGUCUCGUUUCGUGUAUCGGUGAGGGGCGGUCAGGUCAGUCAGACUCAGUGGUAUGUAGAAAGCGUUUCGUCAAGUCUCCAUUUUCUACUAAAUUCUACCGCUAUUGUUUUGACGUUAGGGACUGAAAUUAAAAUAAAAACGAGGUCAUGUUAGUCGGACGUCUUGUCACGGCUCAAAUUCAGUCAGGGUCUGUGAGCGCAUGGGAAGCAAAGUUUAUACACGACUUCGUAUCACUGCACCUGAGUUAACUGUCCUGUCUGUCACUUUGUCUCGUUGGAAUUCAAAUGUUAGAGCUCAAGUCGUUAUACUGUCACUCGAAUGUUUGAACAGAUAUUCCUGGUCUUUUAUGUGACAUGGAGGACCAAGAAGGGGACCUAAACCCGAAUACAGACGACCUUCCACUUUGUGCCAAUACCAGCCACAUUCUCGUCAAGCACUAUGCUCUCGACCUAGCUGUUUGUUUUGACAGGAAAGUCAUUAGUGGUAGCGUGGUUCUGUUCCUGGAACCUACGAUUUUUGGAGAACCCGUGGAACAUGAUGGGAACCAAACUGCAUGGUUCAGAAACACUGAACAAUGGCCAAGUGAUUUUCCAGGUGUCAGGAUGGCAGCUGAUCAUAUCAAGUCCUCAUCCGAAGGUCAUUUCAUUUUAGUGCUGGACUGCUGUGACAUCACUGUGUCAAAGGUGGAGCAAGUAGACGUCACCUCAUUGUCGGACGCCUUUCCUGGCGUCGGACCCCCUGACCUUAUCCAAAAGCUGCUCUCCAUGCCUUCUGCUCAGUGGAGGAGGCAGCAGGAGCUCUUCUCAGCGUGCAGCCGUGCGCCUGGUCUUGACCAGGAUGGUGGUCCUCUGCAUUUUCGCACUGGUCGCUGGAGUCUGCAUGUGUGGAAGCCGGGGGUCUCCUCCCCACGGGAGUUCCCUCGGGCCAUCAGGAUUUACUAUGAGACGAUGCCUAUAGGGGGCUCGGUGAGGUGGACCAAAGACCAGGACAACAGGGCGUGUGUGUACACCGCCGGCUCGCCCAUCAACAACCGAGCCCUCUUCCCUUGCCAGGAGCCGCCUGUUGCCAUGUCAACGUGGCAGGCCAGAGUGCGGGCCCCCCACGACUGUGUGGUCUUGAUGAGUGGGGAAGAGCAGGUUGUGCCUACUGAGAAUGGGGACACAAAUUUGUUGCUGUGGAACUACUACGUUACGAUGCCCAUGCCGGCUUCCACCUUCACCUUGGCAGUAGGCCGCUGGCAACAAGUCCCCGCUCAACUACUUCCCGCGUGCGUAAUAGGGCGGAGCGAAAGGGCUGAUGAGUUUGGGGAGUCCGCCCCAGUGUCCUCAUGCGGAGGUUCAAGCCGCGAAAUAGUAAAAGCCUCCAGGCUCCACACUGGCAGGGAAGAGCGGACCGCCCGCUCGGCCUCGUCCUCUCAGCACGAGAGCGUUUCUGUGCUCGACCAUUCAGCCAUGUUGGAUGACGGCUUCCCUUGUUCCCAUGGCGACUACCCUUGCCGCCUCAUCGAGCGCGCUUUCAAGUCCCAGCAUGUGAUCCCGCACCGCGUGUUUGCGCCCACCGGCCUACUGCACAAGGCUCAGAGUCGAAUCCUCACCCUGUUGCCACGAUGUUUAGCCGCGGCCCAGGCAGUUCUGGGAGUUCAUCCCUUCCCCCGCCUUGAUGUCCUCAUCGUGCCAGCGGGGUUUUCCAGUCUGGGCAUGGCCAGCCCGCACAUCAUUUUCCUGUCUCAGAGUGUGUUGCGUGUCGGCAGCUCAUUUCCGAGAGAAAACAGCCCGUCCUUGUGCGGGUCCAGGCUGUGCCACGAGAUCGCCCACUCCUGGUUCGGUCUGCUCAUCGGGGCCAGGGAUUGGACGGAGGAAUGGAUCAGCGAGGGAUUUGCCACUUACCUCGAGGACAUUAUCUGGGCCCGAGCACAGCAACUCUCUGAGCCAGAAGCGGCAGAAGAGUCCAACUUGAAGGCGCUGCUGAGAUGGAGAAGACUGUCCGACGAGUUGCAAAAUUCCGGAGAGGAACUUCAGAUUCUCAGACCCAACAUGGACAAAACAGGUCAAGUCAGUGAAUCUGGCUCCUCCACAGUAAAACAUGCCCUCAACCCAGAAAAAUCCUUCCUGCAAGUGCACUACCUCAAGGGUUACUUCCUCCUCAUGUUCUUGGCCAGUCAAGUGGGAGAGCAGCAAUUUAUUCACUUCUUCAGAUUAUUUGUGAAGAAAUACCACGGGCAACUCAUUCUAUCUCAGGAUUUCCUGCAAAUGCUGCUUUCUACCUUUCCUGACCUUGCGAGAAAAGACCUAACUCUCGACACCAUUUAUGCCGACUGGCUGGAUCGACCAGGAAUUCCCAAGUGGCUGCACGAAAGGAGCGCCGUGUGGUCUGAGGCGACGCUCGUGAAGGAAGUCAAGGAGGAGGUUGCAAAAUGGAUUCUCCUCAGUCAUCAGGCGAAGGGCAGAAAGCGGAAGCGAUCAGAGCCCAAGGUGAACUACAAAGAGGUGACCUCAGAGCAACUUGUAUUGCUUUUGGAGCUCCUCUUAGAAGAAGCCAAGCUGAGCGCAUCCACCAUGCGCAUUUUGUCUCGCACCUACGACCUGCACAAUCAAGACGCUGAGGUGCGCCAUCGCUGGUGCGAGCUGGUGGUCAAGCACAGAUAUGCCAGCGCUUACAGCCACGUGGAGCACUUCCUGCUUCAUGAUCAAGCUAUGGGCGUGUAUCUGUACGGCGAGCUGAUGGUUCAGGAGGACGCCAAGCAGCAGGCGCUGGCUCGUCGCUGCCUUUCAUUGGCCCGAGAGGAAAUGGACCGAUCGGCACGCAGGCUGGUGGAGGAGAUGGUGCUCUGACAGGUAAAGGCAAGUCCGUUGUUACUUGUCGUUCGCUCGUAAUUUUAACAUGACAUUUUCUGAACUCCAUUGUUUUAUCUUCAGGAUUACCUCCCCCAAGGUUAUUAACCUGUUUAAACAGGUGUGUUUUUUGUAAAACUUGCUGUCCACUUUUUUUUGUCCUUUUCAAAAGUAUUUGGUCAAUGAUUUCCCUGACUAUAAUGACAACUGUCCAAAUACUUUUGCAACAUUGAAAAUAGAGGCAAUCUGAGGUACGCUGCAGGAAUUCUAAAAUGUGUUUACCCAUUGAUUUCACUGGCGAUACACUUGCCUUGGUGGAGGUAUGUGUGUUCUUGAAUACAUGCAGACAGGCGCUGUUUUGAGGUCCUUAAAACUAGGGUCAGGGUUUCAAACUAGGGUUUAAUGUUCCCAAGUAGAUUUCCACUCCACUUGGGAUUCGCUUCUUACCUACAGUGACACAUUCCUCGCUGAUCCUGCUUUGUGUGUGUGCGCAUGCAUAGUUUCAGUCUCGGGAAGGGGCCUUUUCCAGGCACUCACAGUAGCACCAUCAGGACGCAUUUGUCAGAGAAGGAAUUUGGGAAUGCGGAAAGUGAAAGCCGGGGGGAGUGGAUCAGCCAGUGUCAUUUUUAAGCCUUAACUCCUAAACGU